UACAGAGGGGGCAAGCGUUGUUCGGAAUUACUGGGCGUAAAGGGCGCGUAGGCGGUUUGUCGCGUCGGGAGUGAAAAUCCAGGGCUUAACUCUGGACUGGCUUCCGAUACGGGCAGACUAGAGGUAUGCAGGGGAGAACGGAAUUCCUGGUGUAGCGGUGAAAUGCGCAGAUAUCAGGAGGAACACCGGUGGCGAAGGCGGUUCUCUGGGCAUUACCUGACGCUGAGGAGCGAAAGUGUGGGGAGCGAACAGG
rnacentral:rRNA from 1 species